GCUUCUCUGAAAAAGUUAGAAGAAAAGAACACAAAAUUUAGAAACCCACCCCUGACCUGGUCUUCUUCACAGAACCCACCACAAACGACCCCCCAUUCUUCUUCUUCAAUGAAGAGCUAACCUAGAGAUCUCUAAGGCUAAGAGAUGAGGCGGCGCCGAUAAUAAUACAGAGGAGCUACUCGAUCUCCUUCUCCACACGCAUCUCCCUGUUCUUCUUCCCAACCAGCAACGGCUCAGUCCAAACUUGCCAGAAGAAGCAGCCAUAGCAGAGAACAAAAGACCACCCUUCUAGCGCUAACUCCUUCUUCAUCUAACAACUGAAAUCAGCGACCAUUUCCACCACAGCUAGAGCUUAUUACACGAGAGAUCUGGCGAGUUUCGAGGUCUGGUCGUAAUUCCGUUGAGGUUUCCGGCGAAGCUCUGGUCCUGCAGUUCGAGGAUGUCAUCUGGUCAGCGUUUUCAGUAAUUGUUGCGACUGUAAAAGAUCGAUCUUCUUUCAGAUUAUAUCAACACUGGAAGGAACUCAUAUAUUGGUAUAUCCAACAUGAUGAAUUUGAUAACGCUCCACUACUGUCAUGAAUCAUUCUCCAGAUGCUUGGGAUCAUAUGCAAUUCAAAGAUAUUGUUGUGAAAGCUGCUAAUGUGGUCUUUGUGAAUAUAUAUAGAGUGUUUGAGUUUUUUUUUUGUUCUAUUUAUUUAUCAUUUUUCGUUCUUUCCUUCUUUUUCUGUUCGGAAUUUGCGCAAAUUGAUUUAUGUCAUUUUCUGUUUGUCAGUAGUUUAGGAAGAACUUGGUAUUUGGUUGAGGCACUGAUAGUAGUAAUAGUUUUGUUUUGGAUACGUUUAAUGUGUUGAAGUUAUGAUCUCUGUUUGUAAUUGUUUAGCGGUUGAAUCUAUUUAAUCUGUGGAAGAUUUGAUCUUUUUGUGA